GGAUGAACGCUGGCGGCGUGCCUAAUACAUGCAAGUCGAGCGAACGGACGAGAAGCUUGCUUCUCUGAUGUUAGCGGCGGACGGGUGAGUAACACGUGGAUAACCUACCUAUAAGACUGGGAUAACUUCGGGAAACCGGAGCUAAUACCGGAUAAUAUUUUGAACCGCAUGGUUCAAAAGUGAAAGACAGUCUUGCUGUCACUUAUAGAUGGAUCCGCGCUGCAUUAGCUAGUUGGUAAGGUAACGGCUUACCAAGGCAACGAUGCAUAGCCGACCUGAGAGGGUGAUCGGCCACACUGGAACUGAGACACGGUCCAGACUCCUACGGGAGGCAGCAGUAGGGAAUCUUCCGCAAUGGGCGAAAGCCUGACGGAGCAACGCCGCGUGAGUGAUGAAGGUCUUCGGAUCGUAAAACUCUGUUAUUAGGGAAGAACAUAUGUGUAAGUAACUGUGCACAUCUUGACGGUACCUAAUCAGAAAGCCACGGCUAACUACGUG
rnacentral:rRNA from 1 species